CAGAAGCUGCUGGCCCAAUAGAAGGAUGGACUGGUCUGUUGAAAACACAACUCAAGUGCUAUCUCAGAGGUGAUACCUUGAAAGAUUGAGGCAUCCUCUUCCAGGACACAGUGAAUGGUUUAAAUCAAUGACUUUUAUGAGGUGAUUUGUCCCUGCAUGGUUUUUUCUGACACCAAAUGUGCGGUGUCUUUUCCAAUAUCAACAAGCGAUUCUCCAGUUCUCCAAUAUCAACUAGGUGUCCAACAGCUCAAUUCAAUUCCAUCACUAACUAUUCAGAGUUAGCGCAGACCCCACAGGUCAAGGGCUCAGUCCCGCAAGACUGCCCCCACUUCAGAUCUCACCAGCAUAUGAGGUCACCCGGUGACCCACACUCUGCCUGGCUGACUACACAUUCAGGAGUUCUCGUGACUGCUCCCUCAGGUUCCAUAAUUCCCUAGAACAACUCACAGAACUCAGAAAAGUGCUUUACUUAUGAUAACUAGUUUAUUAUAAAAGAUACAACGCAGGAACAGCCAAAUGGAAGAGAUGGACAGAGCAAAGUAGGGAGGGGGUGGGGUGGCGCAGAGCUUCCAUGUCCUCUCCAGGCAUGCCACUCUCCCAGCACAUCAAUGUGUUCACCAACCCAGAAGCCCCCUGAACGCUGUCUUUGAGGGGUGUUUAAUGCACAUAAACAUGAUCAAUUAAAUCAUAGGCCAUUGGUGAUUGAACUCAAUUUCCAGCCCUCUUUCCUCCCUGGACGUUGGAGGGUGGGGCUGAAAGUUCUAACCCUCUAAUAGAAGUUGGAUUAUCUAAUAACCAGCCCCUCUCCUGAAAUCAUCUAGCCCCCCCUCCCCCAGUCAUCUAAUUAGCAUAGAAAAGACAAUAAAUUCCAAGGAUUUUAGGAGCUCUGUGCCAGGAAAGGAGGAUGAAGGCCAAAUACUUGUUUUUCACUGUGGCACAGUUCCCAGUAGGUGGAACAUAAGGGUCUGGGAACCAAUGGGUGAAAUCAAGAGGGGCCCUGUUUACCAUCACCCCCUAGUGACUCUCUGGCAACUCUGGGCUCUGUGAGUAUAGAGGUCCUGGUUCCAAAGAGACAUAGCGAGAGUCACAUGGAAUGUUAAGCAACAGUUGCCACCUGGGCACUUCAGGUUCCAAGAACAGGGGUCAUCAUCAUGACAGGGGUAGUUGAUCACAAUGAUCAGGAGAAAAUGGGGCUGUUUUAUACUACAGGGGCAGGAAUAAAUUUGGCACUCACAUAAUCCACCUGGAUGCCUCUUGGUACUCCCUUGCCCUACUUUAACAAUAAAUGGACAAGUGCAGCAGCCACAUCAUCAGAGGGGCAUGGUGACCAGGGGCUCAACCCCUCUUAAUGAGGUUCUUGAUCAUACCCUGUGAUGGUCAAUUUUACAUGUCAACUUGGCUAAGCUAUGGUGUCCAAUUGUUUGGCCAAACACUAAAACACUAGACUAGAUGUUGCUGGGAAGGUAUUCUGUAGAUGAGAUUAACAUUUACAAUCAGUUGACAUUAAGAAAAAGAGAUUAUUCUUGAUAAUAUGGGUGGACCUCAUCGAAACAAUUGAAAGCCUUGAGAGCAAAAUCUGAGGUCUCCCAGACAAGAAGGAAUUCUGCCUCAAGACCAUAACAUAGCAGUCCUGCCUGAGUUUCCAGCCUGCUGGCCUGCCCCACAGAUUUCAGACUUGCCAGCCCCCAAUUGCAUGAGACAAUUCCUUAAAAUCAAGGGAGGAGGAUAUAUAUGGACAGAAUAGAAUGAAACCCAGGUCUAAACAAACCAGCAAAUCACAUUCCUUGGCCUCUAACAUUGGUUCAAAGGUGAACUUCAGCCUAAGAUGAUACAAUCAAAAGGAAGAUCAGACUCGCUUGAUAAUAUGAUUUUUAUGUAUCUUAUUGGUUCUGUUUCUCUGGAGAACUCUAAGCAAACCACCAAACUAAGCAAACCACCAAGACUAAAUGGCACGCUAGCUGAGGAUGAGUGGAAUCUAGAAUAGUGAAGAAGGUGAAGAUGAGUUGUAGCUCGAGACCCCCUGGACCUGUGCAGGCUGUGGUUCAUCCCAUUAACCUUCCACUUCUAAGUUCUUUCGGGAAAAGGAGCACCACAAUCUUGGAGGGGCUGCUCUCAUAACUCAUACGAAGAAGGAAAUCCAAGAGGCACAAGGGCCAGACUGUGAAGGACACUGUCACUCACGGCUUAUUCACCCCCUUCAGGAAUGAAGGGUUUAUUUUCUUAGGUGCCAGGAGUGCUUCCGGCAGCUGUUAGCCCCGUAUGGGGAAUACAUUGACUGAAGAGGGCUGUAUCGCCCGACAUCAUGCCUUCUUCCUGGGGUGGCCCACGUCCAAGGACUGAUCCCUGAGAAGGUGUAAGACACAGCUCUCUCAACUCUGAAAGGUCAUCCCAGCUUCAGAACUCCCCUUAGGGUUGGCUGAAAACUGUUGAGACUGCCUUGCAGCUCAACUUCUCCUUGUGCCUAAUCUUGCUUCCUUCAAUUACUGGGAAAGAGGUUUCAAUAUCUCCAAAAAUGAUUGUGAAUUGAGCAAAAGAAGCCAGACACAAAAGAGUAAAUAAAUACUCUAUGAUUUCAUUGACAUGAAGGUCAAGAACAGACAGAACAAAUCCAUGAUGAUAAAAGUAAGAAGAGUGGUUAUGAUUGUGUGUGUGUGUGCAUGUGUGUGUGUCUGUAGGGGGAUGGUUAUUGACUGGGAUAGGGCACAGGGGAACCUUCGAGCUGAUGGAAAUGUUCCACAUCUUGAUCUGGGUAGUGGUAACACGGGUGUAUACAGGUGUACAUUUAGAUUUGUGCAACUGAGUAUACCAAAGUUAUAUCUAAAUUUAACAAAUGUUUUUUUCAAAGGUAAAAUGGAGAUAAUUUGAAUCUCAGUUGAGUCCUUUGCUAGGCAUAUGACCUUUCAGAAGCCAUUUCUCUCUAAGUCUCAGUUUUCUCAAUUCCAGAAUGAGGGAUUGGACUGGAUGAUCUGAGUUACAAGGCGUGGGUCUAUCAAAACAGCUCUUCAAAGUGUUCUUAAAAAUUGAAGGAAAGAUAACAAAAACUCCAUUUAGAAAUAAAAAAAAAAGACAGCUCUCAAAAGGAAAACAAAUGAUCCAUAGACAUAGGGGAAAAAAAAUUAAGUGAGAGGAGAGUAUUUUUACCCUAGAAAACACAUACAUUUUAAAAGUUAAAUGUUAACAUUCAAUGUAGUUUUUUAUUGUUUCCAAAGCAUUCAUGUUAUCAUUUCUUUGUCCCAAAAGAACCCAGAGUCUCACAACCAUGGGGUUGAGUAGGUUCCCCAGUUCCAGAGAUGGGCCAUCACGGGUCUGAGCACACCAAUGUGCGUUAGGGAUUUGUCUCAUGAUGGGAAAGCAGAACGGAACCCAGGCCUAAGCAAAUCAGCAAACCACAUUCCUUGACCUCUAAGACUGGUUCAAAGAUGAGCUUGUAACCUAAGAUGAUAUAAUCAAAAGGAAGAUCAGACUUUUGUUUGAUAAUUAGGCAGAAAGAAGAUCUGUGUUUGUUCUGCAUGUGAACAGGGAGGCUCAUGGCUCUGGGAGCUGCUGGCAGCCAACUUGCUGCCUUGAAGGAGUCGGCUAAAGAAUAAGGUCAACCACCAAGGAGGGCAAAGACAGGAGGAUCUCAGCAAACGGAGUCAGUCUUGGUGACAACAUGACCCUUGGGGUCAAACCACACCUGCAGCCUGCCCUAUCUCUGGACUUUUCAAUAACGGGAGACAAAAAGUUCCUUUUUAUGACUUGAGUCAGUGCGAGUUAGGAUUUUUCUUACUUGCAAAGAAAAUUAUUCUAUCUUAUACAGCAGUGUCAAUAAGAAUUCUGGAAAACUGACAUCAGUGUGCGGCUGGUAGAAAUAAAAUCUGAUACCACCUUUUGGAGGGCAAUUUGGUGAUAUGUACAAGAUCUAAAUAUGGGCAUACCCUUCAACCUAAUAUAUAAACUUGUCAGAAUUGAUUCAUUUGUUCAACAAAUAUUUAAGCAUUUCUUAUGUGCCCAACACUAUUCUAGGAGUUAGGGGUUUAGAAGCGGACCAAACAAAAUCCCUAUGGAACCAGCUGUAGGAAAUAAUCAAAGACAUGUAAAAAAAUUUAUCAACAAAGAUGUUCAUUUCAGAGCCCUCUAUAGUAGGGAACAAUUGGAAACAAUAUAAAUGCCCAACAAAAGGAAAUUGCUUAAAUAACUUUGGGGGCAUUGACAUAAUAAAAUGCUAUUUCAGCAUUUAGAACUGUAGGAACUAUUUAAUUAUAGGGAAAAAUAUUCACCAUAUAUUUUUAGGUGAAAA
ensembl:lncRNA